rnacentral:rRNA from 1 species
UACAGAGGGUGCAAGCGUUAAUCGGAAUUACUGGGCGUAAAGCGUGCGCAGACGGUUGCGUAAGUCAGAUGUGAAAGCCCCGGGCUCAACCUGGGAAUUGCAUUUGAGACUGCGUAGCUAGGGUGCGGAAGAGGGAAGCGGAAUUUCCGGUGUAGCGGUGAAAUGCGUAGAUAUCGGAAGGAACACCAGUGGCGAAAGCGGCU